GAUGAACGCUAGCGGUAGGCCUAACACAUGCAAGUCGAACGGUAACAGAGAGAGCUUGCUCUUUGCUGACGAGUGGCGAACGGGUGCGUAACACGUAUGCAACUUACCUUCCACAGGGGGAUAGCCCAGAGAAAUUUGGAUUAAUACCCCAUAUUAUUACAGAAUCGCAUGAUUCAGUGAUGAAAACUCCGGUGGUGGAAGAUAGGCAUGCGGCCCAUUAGUUAGUUGGUGAGGUAACGGCUCACCAAGACCACGAUGGGUAGGGGGUCUGAGAGGAUGAUCCCCCACACUGGUACUGAGACACGGACCAGACUCCUACGGGAGGCAGCAGUGAGGAAUAUUGGUCAAUGGACGAAAGUCUGAACCAGCCAUACCGCGUGCAGGAAGACAGCCCUACGGGUCGUAAACUGCUUUUGUUUGCCAAGAAACCUCCCCACGUGUGGGGAGCUGACGGUAGCAUUCGAAUAAGGACCGGCUAACUCCG
rnacentral:rRNA from 1 species